GACGAACGCUGGCGGCGUGCUUAACACAUGCAAGUCGAACGGAAAGGCCCCCUUGUGGGGUACUCGAGUGGCGAACGGGUGAGUAACACGUGAGUAACCUACCCUUGACUUUGGGAUAACUUCAGGAAACUGGGGCUAAUACCGGAUAGGAGCUCCUGCUGCAUGGUGGGGGUUGGAAAGUUUCGGCGGUUGGGGAUGGACUCGCGGCUUAUCAGCGUGUUGGUGGGGUAGUGGCUCACCAAGGCCUUGACGGGUAGCCGGCCUGAGAGGGUGACCGGCCACAUUGGGACUGAGAUACGGCCCAGACUCCUACGGGAGGCAGCGGUGGGGAAUAUUGCACAAUGGGCGGAAGCCUGAUGCAGCAACGCCGCGUGCGGGAUGACGGCCUUCGGGUUGUAAACCGCUUUCGCCUGUGACGAAGCGUGAGUGACGGUAAUGGGUAAAGAAGCACCGGCUAACUACGUG
rnacentral:rRNA from 1 species